GCCGAGGUGGCGGAACUGGCAGACGCGGCGGACUUAAAAUCCACUGGGCGCAGGCCCUUGCGGGUUCGACCCCCGCCCUCGGCACCA
rnacentral:tRNA from 1 species